UCUACAGGCUUAACACAUGCAAGUCGAGGGGCAUCAGGAAGAAAGCUUGCUUUCUUUGCUGGCGACCGGCGCACGGGUGAGUAACACGUAUCCAACCUGCCCUUUACUCGGGGAUAGCCUUUCGAAAGAAAGAUUAAUACCCGAUAGCAUAAUGAUUCCGCAUGGUUUCAUUAUUAAAGGAUUCCGGUAAAGGAUGGGGAUGCGUUCCAUUAGGUUGUUGGUGAGGUAACGGCCCACCAAGCCUUCGAUGGAUAGGGGUUCUGAGAGGAAGGUCCCCCACAUUGGAACUGAGACACGGUCCAAACUCCUACGGGAGGCAGCAGUGAGGAAUAUUGGUCAAUGGGCGCUAGCCUGAACCAGCCAAGUAGCGUGAAGGAUGAAGGCUCUAUGGGUCGUAAACUUCUUUUAUAUAAGAAUAAAGUGCAGUAUGUAUACUGUUUUGUAUGUAUUAUAUGAAUAAGGAUCGGCUAACUCCGUGCCAGCAGCCGCGGUAAUACGGAGGAUCCGAGCGUUAUCCGGAUUUAUUGGGUUUAAAGGGAGCGUAGGUGGACUGGUAAGUCAGUUGUGAAAGUUUGCGGCUCAACCGUAAAAUUGCAGUUGAUACUGUCAGUCUUGAGUACAGUAGAGGUGGGCGGAAUUCGUGGUGUAGCGGUGAAAUGCUUAGAUAUCACGAAGAACUCCGAUUGCGAAGGCAGCUCACUGGACUGCAACUGACACUGAUGCUCGAAAGUGUGGGUAUCAAACAGGAUUAGAUACCCUGGUAGUCCACACAGUAAACGAUGAAUACUCGCUGUUUGCGAUAUACAGUAAGCGGCCAAGCGAAAGCAUUAAGUAUUCCACCUGGGGAGUACGCCGGCAACGGUGAAACUCAAAGGAAUUGACGGGGGCCCGCACAAGCGGAGGAACAUGUGGUUUAAUUCGAUGAUACGCGAGGAACCUUACCCGGGCUUAAAUUGCAGUGGAAUGAUGUGGAAACAUGUCAGUGAGCAAUCACCGCUGUGAAGGUGCUGCAUGGUUGUCGUCAGCUCGUGCCGUGAGGUGUCGGCUUAAGUGCCAUAACGAGCGCAACCCUUAUCUUCAGUUACUAACAGGUUAUGCUGAGGACUCUGGAGAGACUGCCGUCGUAAGAUGUGAGGAAGGUGGGGAUGACGUCAAAUCAGCACGGCCCUUACGUCCGGGGCUACACACGUGUUACAAUGGGGGGUACAGAAGGCAGCUACCUGGUGACAGGAUGCUAAUCCCAAAAGCCUCUCUCAGUUCGGAUCGAAGUCUGCAACCCGACUUCGUGAAGCUGGAUUCGCUAGUAAUCGCGCAUCAGCCACGGCGCGGUGAAUACGUUCCCGGGCCUUGUACACACCGCCCGUCAAGCCAUGGGAGCCGGGGGUACCUGAAGUACGUAACCGCAAGGAUCGUCCUAGGGUAAAACUGGUGACUGGGG
rnacentral:rRNA from 1 species